CUUGAAGAAGCGUUUUGUCCACGUGGACAGAAAUCGCUCCCUUAAGGGCGCGCUUUAUGUCCACGUGGACAAAAUGCUUCUUCAAGG
rfam:Gossypium raimondii Chr09_contig_1467, whole genome shotgun sequence.